rnacentral:rRNA from 1 species
GGCUGCGGUAUUUUGACCGUACAAAGGUAGCAUAGUCAUUAGUUUUUUAAUUGGAAACUUGUAUGAAUGGUUGAAUGAAAAAUUAACUUUUUUAAAAAAAACAUUGAAUUUUACUUUUUAAUUAAAAGGUUAAAAUUUAUUUAAAAGACGAGAAGACCCUAUAGAGUUUUAUAUUUUUUGUUAUAAUUUUUAAUAAGUUUAUUUAAAAUUUUUUAAUAAAUAUUAUUUUGUUGGGGUGAUAAUAAAAUUUAAUUAACUUUUAUUUAUUAUUUACAUUAAUAUAUGAUUUUUUGAUCCAUUAUUAUUGAUUAAAAGUUUAAAUUACCUUAGGGAUAACAGCGUAAUUUUUUUUUAAGUUCUUAUUAAUAAAAAAUUUUGCGACCUCGAUGUUGGAUUAAGAUUUAAUUUUAGGUGCAGCAGUUUAAAGUUUAAGUCUGUUCGACUUUUAAAUUCUU